UACGAGUAGCGGACGAGUAGAAGGGAACACGACCUUAACGUUAUAGACGAAGUCAUAGCGGGGGUCGCGGGACUCCAUCAAGAGAUGGGAAGAAGUUAGCUGAAGAGCUCUGGAAAGAGCCACCAAGACGGUGACAGUCCGGUAAGCGAAAAUUUCUGAACCUCUGGAGUAUCCCAAGUAGUACGGGGCACGAGAAACCUUGUACGAAUCUGCCAGGACCAUCUGGUAAGGCUAAAUACUGACUGACGACCGAUAGUGAACAAGUACCGCGAGGGAAAGGUGAAAAGAACCCGUGAGAGGGAGUGAAAUAGAACAUGAAACCGUGUGCUUACAAGCAAUUGGAGCACUAUUUAUAGUGUGACAGUGUGCCUGUUGAAGAAUGAGCCGGCGAGUUACCGUACGUAGUUGGUUAAGCAGUUAACAUGCGAAGCCAAAGGGAAACCGAGUCUGAUAAGGGCGUUGAUAAUUAC
rnacentral:rRNA from 1 species